rnacentral:rRNA from 1 species
AUUGAACGCUGGCGGCAGGCCCAACACAUGCAAGUCGAACGGAUGAAGGGAGCUUGCUCCUGGAUUCAGCGGCGGACGGGUGAGUAAUGCCUAGGAAUCUGCCUGGUAGUGGGGGAUAACGUCCGGAAACGGGCGCUAAUACCGCAUACGUCCUGAGGGAGAAAGUGGGGGAUCUUCGGACCUCACGCUAUCAGAUGAGCCUAGGUCGGAUUAGCUAGUUGGUGGGGUAAAGGCCUACCAAGGCGACGAUCCGUAACUGGUCUGAGAGGAUGAUCAGUCACACUGGAACUGAGACACGGUCCAGACUCCUACGGGAGGCAGCAGUGGGGAAUAUUGGACAAUGGGCGAAAGCCUGAUCCAGCCAUGCCGCGUGUGUGAAGAAGGUCUUCGGAUUGUAAAGCACUUUAAGUUGGGAGGAAGGGCAGUAAGUUAAUACCUUGCUGUUUUGACGUUACCAACAGAAUAAGCACCGGCUAACUUCGUG